UGGCUUCUUUUAAUGUCUUGUUUUUAAGGCUUUUGAAUUUUAUAGUAGACUUAGUAAAGCCCUUUAUGAGAAUGUAGAGCAGUAGCUGUAAUUUUAUUCUAUAAUAAUCCCAAUUUUAAAUCCCUUUUUUUUCUGUCUCCUAUCACUUACCUCCUUCACAAGCUCUAUUUGUAUUACUCUUCAAAAUAUUUAUUCUGCUGGUACUGAAGAGAGACAUACUUUGUUGUCAGAAAUUCCAUUACCAGAGGUAGAAAUCAUGUAAGAGACACUGAAAUGUUUUCCAAGAUGUCAGAAAAAGGAAAGGUGAAAAAUUAGACUAUUUCAAGAGUUGGAGCUGAAUCCGAUGUUAAAUAAUGGCAACAGGUGACUUAAAAAGAAGCUUACGGAACCUAGAACAGGUGCUCCGCUUGCUAAAUUAUCCUAAAGAGGUGGACUGUGUAGGUUUGAUAAAGGGAGACCCAGCAGCAUCUUUGCCCAUCAUCAGCUAUUCUUUUACCUCAUACUCACCUUAUGUAACAGAACUUAUAAUGGAAUCCAAUGUAGAGCUCAUAGCAAAAAAUGACUUGCGCUUUAUAGAUGCUGUCUAUAAGCUUCUUCGUGAUCAAUUUAAUUAUAAACCAAUUUUGACAAAAAAGCAGUUUAUCCAAUGUGGGUUUGCAGAAUGGAAAAUCCAAAUUGUUUGUGAUAUUUUGAAUUGUGUGAUGAAAAAGCACAAGGAAUUAAGCAGUCUUCAGAAGAUUCCAUCACAACAAAGAAAGAAAAUCAGUUCUGGUAAGUCAGAACCUCCAUUGAGCAAUGAGAAAAUAUCUGCAGAGGCUGUUGGCGUUGAUAUCAGUGGCAGGUUUAUGACUUCAGGAAAGAAGAAAGCUGUGGUGAUUCGUCACUUGUAUAAUGAAGAUAAGGUUGACAUUUCUGAGGAUACAUUAAGUCCAAUAACAGAUGUUAAUGAAGCAGUUGAUGUGUCUGACUUAAAUGCUACUGAAAUAAAGAUGCCUGAAGUAAAGGUUCCUGAAAUCAAGGCUGAGCAACAGGAUGUAAAUGUUAAUCCUGAGAUUACUGCACUACAGACUAUGCUUGCUGAAUGCCAAGAAAAGCUUAAGAAACUGACUUUGAUAGAGAAAAGGUUAGACUGUUUGGAACAAAAAAUGAAAGGAAAAGUGAUGGUAGAUGAAAACACCUGGACUAAUCUUCUUAGUCGUGUCACUCUUCUUGAAACAGAAAUGCUUUUGUCUAAAAAGAAUGAUGAAUUUAUAGAGUUUAAUGAAGUUAGUGAAGACUACGUUUCUUGUAGAGACAUGGACCUUCUGAAUACUCACAGAAAAAGCAAAGUAGAGAGGCCAGCAAGUAUUCCUCUGUCCUCUGGCUAUAGUACGGCAUCAUCAGGUUCAACUCCCAGAGCCUCUACCGUUAAUUACUGUGGUUUGAAUGAGAUUUCAGAGAAUUUUCCUGCAUGGAGUGCUACAUCCUCUUGUUCCAGUCUCAGCUGGCUGCUCCAUGGGCAUACUUCAUACCUUUCAUCACGGAGCUUUGCUUGGCCUCUCUCCUGCGUGUAAUGUCUGUUUCUUGGAUCCUGUACUUACCUUUUCCUGCUGUACUCUGAUGUUUCAGUGAAGCUCAUCCACGAAGUCCAGAAUUCUGCCUGGAAACCAGCUUCCUCCUCAGCUCCAGCUCUUUUACUGGAAUCCAUGUUCAUAAAUUCUGGGAGUGUGUCAGCUGGUGACUUCAGAGGAAAGGGGAACCACUACGCAUGAGGUAAAAGGAGGAAUGUGUUGUUUUGCUACUGGGAAGGACUGGGGAGGGGAGUGGAAUAAAAGGUAGGAGCAGAGAAGAGACAGGCCAGCAAAAUCAAAAAGCAGGUGCUGCAGAGAAAGAGCCAGGAGAGAAACUUCUGGUGGUGAGUGAUAAAAAUGGACUUGGGGGACAGGACAAUAUAAUAACUGAUGAGCUUUUGACCCCCAUCGCUCCAGUCAUCAGGAAAGUCUAUUGUGCUUAUAAAUGCUUUGUUUCAAUUUUUGGCAAACACAAUAAAGGAGCUGUUUUAUAUCUGGUAGCACCUCAUGUUGACCCCAAUAUAAAUGAGAAACAAGAGCCGAAGAAGCAGAGGAAGUUAGGAGAUAGUAAGCUGUCCAGAAAUUAGCCGACGACUGUGGAAUGGCUCCAGACUUCUGUAGCAAAUGGAAAUAUGAGGUUAAUUCCAGGUUUAUGUAAAUCACCAAGGGUUAGAUGAACUCCCAUAUGGCAUGUUACACCAAUUUAUAAGGACAUCAGAAAAUAGUUCAUAUUGUUUCAAACUUGGCUCCAUAAGUGGGCAAUUAUUUUUAAUAUAUAUCAGGGCUUAGAACAUGAUACCCCAAAAUAUGGCACCUUGGCAUUAGCAGAAAGCUCACUCUCUUGACUUUCUCCAACCUUCUCUCCCCAGGCCAUAAAAAUCAUUCUCUCUCCCUUCAUGUGGAGAAUGAAGACUUUUUGGGACACCUUAUAUCCAGAGAAAAGGAAAGAAGAUACAUACAGCCAGAGCAGAAUCUGAACAAACAGGCCUUGCUAAGUUCCCGCCAGUUUAUUGAUCAUAUCC